AUGUGUUUAAAAGAUCCUGUACUCGAGGUAAAUAAAGAUCCUUAUCUCACCUGUGUGCUGGCCGUGGCCUCGCAUCGUGACCCCCCCGGCGGAAGUGCUCAGGCCCCUGCACUCCUCGCUGGCCCGAGAGCGAAUGUCGUGUUUACUCCCCUGGCUGCGAUUUGCUUAGAGAAGUGCCUGGCCUUCAGCCUUGCUGGUCACAAGGACCUGGGGCCUAUGACGUCACAGGGGCGUGGACAGCCCGUCCUGCAGUGCACAGGGGCGUGGACAGCCCGUCCUGCAGUGCACAGGGGCACGGACAGCCCCGUCCUGCAGUGCACAGGGGCACGGACAGCCCCGUCCUGCAGUGCACAGGGGCGUGGACAGCCCCGUCCUGCAGUGCACAGGGGCGUGGACAGCCCGUCCUGCAGUGCACAGGGGCGUGGGGGCGUGGACAGCCCGUCCUGCAGUGCACAGGGGCGUGGACAGCCCGUCCUGCAGUGCACAGGGGCGUGGGGGCGUGACAGAGCCCCCAUCUGUCAUGUCCUUCCCUUGGGUCUGUGCAGCUGUGGCCUUCACCCCACCUCGUGUGCCGAGCCCGGCCUCUGCCUGCGGCUCUGCAGGGCGGGAGUGAGCCCUCCGUGAAUGCGCCUGGAGUCCGCCCUGUGCACGAGCAAGGUGCCGGUCUGUGCGGUGUCCCCGUGGGUCUGUCCCGAAACACUCCCAGGGAGGGCGGAACUGCCACCAGCCGCAGGUCACUGUGGAACCAGCACCCGUGGCUCGGCGUCUGCCACAUAGCCAAGCUCGUGAGCCUGAAAUACCGCCUCGUGGGGACGAACGUCUCUGUCCUGUCCACAGUCAGGCUCCGGGCCAUCCUGCUGCUCAGGCUUGGGGUGGCUGGGCAGCGAGGUUUGCUUCUUCCCUGGGGAGGGGCACCCUGGAGAGGGAGCCCCCAGCCACCUGCGGGAGAGCAGAGUGGCCUGGGAGCCCAGCGUUAGUCGGAGGUUGCGGCCCAGUCGCCGAGGAGCGCGGAGGGAGGGUGGCGUGGCCGUGCAGCCUGCCGCUGCCCCCUGCCUCACGUGGCCGUGUCCGCGUGCAUCAAGUCGUCCAGUGAGUCCCGGAGAAAGUGAGCGGCAGGAGGGGCUGGGAGGCCCUGGGCGGGUGAGGGCUCCGGCCAGGUGGGCCGGGCAGCCCUGGACGGGCCCUGUCCUCGUGAAGACCCAGGUCCUGUGUGGAGAUGCUCUCGUGGCCGCUGUGGCUCCUUACGUCGGCUUGGGAGGUCGCCCAGGAACCUGGAGCAGAGUUGAACUGUUGGGAGCCGGCGUGGGUUUGGGUCCAACCAGGAGAAAACUCACGGGGGCCGUUGGCGCUUCCUCCUCCGUGAGCUGCCUUCCCCUUGAACGUGGCCGAGGUCACCCGGUGACAUGGGGGGUCCUGCUGUCCCCAGGGCCGGGAUGGGGGCAGCCUCUGCUGCACGGCCCCUCCCCGAGUGAGGCUCAGUGCGCCCCUGCAGAGCCGUGGGGGUCCAGGCUGGGAGCCGCGGAGCUGUGGGGCUGGGUGUGUGUGCCCUGCUGACACGCUGACCUGCGCACAGCAGGACGCAGGGGGACGUGAGCCACCCACUGACAUUUUUUCAGAGUUAUUUACUUGAAAGGCAGAGUUACAGAGGGGCAGAGAGAGAAAAUCUUCCAUCCGCUGGGUCACCUCCAGAUGGCCACAGUGGCCGGAGCUGAGCCGAUCUGAAGCCAGGAGCCAGGAGCCAGGGGCUUCUCCCGGGCCCUGUCAUGGAAUGCCGGCAGGCAGCAGGCCUUGGCUUUACCUCCGACUUGGGGAAAUUUAACAUUUCCUGCGUUUCUAAGAUUUGCGGGAUUCAGGUGUUUCUUUUGCCAGGUGAGGGCUUGGUGUUUAUUUCAAAUUAUAAUGCAGAUUUACCUGAGAAAGGCAGUCAUAGUGCAGGCAGGGGGGAGGCAGCUGACGGGGGCGCCCUGCCUGUGCCUCGGCAAGUGCAGCUCUGCUGCUUCCCCCUUGGGCUCUUAGGGACCCCUCCUCACUGCGCACUGACUCCCCAGUCCCUGCCUUCCCCUGCCCUGCCCUGGAGGUGGUUGGCGUCCACUAGCAUUGGUGGGCUCCACUCAGGAGGCCCGGUGGCCACCCCACAAAUGCUGCCCAGUGUCAGUCCCCAGACUGGAAAGAUGGCAGGCGCACCUGGCUUUGGCCUGGCCCAGCUCUGGGCCACCGCGGCCAUCUGGAGAGUGAGCCAGCAGAUGGAAACCCACCCUGCCCCCCAGCUCUGCCUUUUGGGAGAAUAAAGUAAAUCCUAAAGAAGAAGAAAAGGAGCUA
ensembl:lncRNA